AGUUUCUGGUAUGUACUGAAAGAGGAUAUUGUGUCUGUUUUCAAAGAUUUACAUUCCAAUGACAAGUUUCUUAAAUCUUUAAACACUACAUUGCCUUUAUUCUCAAGAAAAUGGGUGCCAAUGAAUUUAAAAACUUUAGUCCUAUAAGCUUGGUUGGGUGUAUAUAGAAGCUCAUUGCCAAGGUGUUGGCUAGGAGACUAGUUAAAGUGUUGGGACAAAUAAUUGGGAAAAGCCUACAUGCUUUUGUUGGGGGAAGACAGAUUUUUGAUGCCGUUAUGGCUGCUAAUGAAACGAUUGAUGACUUGAUCAAUAAAAAGGAUAGUUUGGUGUGUAAACUUGACAUGGAAAAAGCUUAUGAUCAUGUGAAUUGGAAUUUUGUAGACUGCAUGCUAUCUACGAUGGUUUUUGGCCUAAAAUGGAGAAAAUGGAUGAGGCUUGUAUGACCACUACAUCUUUUACUGUAUUAAUAAAUGACCGUUUUUCUAAUUUCUUUAAUACUUCUAGAGGAUUGAGGUAAGGGGAUCCACUCUCUCUGCUUUUGUUUAUAAUGGUGAUGGAGGCUUUAAACGGGUUAGUCAACAGGGCACAUGAGUUGCAUUUGAUUAGGGGAGUUUCAGCGGGACAAAAAGAGAGAAUUGAUGUUUCUCACUUAUUCUUUGUUGAUGAUACCCUAAUUUCCGUCAACCGGAUUUGAGAAACAUACUACAUUUGAGGUUUGUACUUGUGUGUUUUCAAGCUGUCUCGGGUUUCAAGAUUAAUUUAUACAAGUCUGAAUUGGGCAGAAUUGGUGGUAAUGGGGUUGCUAGUUCAUAUGCUAUGAUUUUAGGCUGUAAAGAUAUAAAAUUUUCCUUCAAGUACCUUGGCCUCUCACUUGGUGCUAAGUGUAAAGAUCAAUUAUCUUGAGAACCGGUUAUUGAUUUGUUUGAAAGAAGACUAGAGGGUUGGAAGAGAAAUUUUCUCUCUAAAAGGGGGAGACACACCCUAGUAAAAAACGCAGUGAUUAAUAUCUCAAUAUAUUAUCUUUUGACAAUCACUAUAUCUCUUAAAGUGGCUAAAAACCUAAAAACAAUUCAAUGUAGAUUCUUUUGGGUGAUAGUGAUGAUAAGAGAAAGUACCAUCUUGUAAAAUGGGAGGAUAUCAAAGACCCAAUCAUUUAUGGAGGCCUUGGGAUUAGGUUCAUGGUUAAUAUGAAUUUAGCACUCCAGAGAAAAUGGAUUUGGAGAUAUUUGAAAGAAGAAAACAGUUUUUGGAGAAAAAUUAUUCAUGCUCGGUGGGGUAUGUAUAUGGGUAGGACAGUUGACGGUAGGAUUCCAAACACACAUGGAAGAGGCUUAUGGAGAAAAAUUCUAAUGCAAUGGUGCAACUUUCAGCAAUGUGUCACAUGGACAUUAGGGAGAGGGAACAGGAUUAUUUUUUGGGAAGACGAUUGGAUCGGGGAGAGCUGUUUAAGAAGAAGUUUUCCCAGAAUUUUCAAUAUUGCAUAAUCUAAGGAGAUGACAGUUGAAGAAGCCUACCGGACUGAUAUGACAGUAUUGUAUGUUCUAUUAACGUCAGUCUGAACUUGAAUGAUUGAGAAAUUGUUGAGUAUGAGGGUUUGAUGAAGCCGUUGGCUGGUUAGGUUGUAGACAGUAAUGUAGAUCAGAUUGUGUGGAAAUUUGAAAAAAAAAGAAAAUUUCUCAGUUAAGUCUUACUACAAUCAACGAAGCUGAAAAGUGAAUGUGGCCAGACAGAACUUUCCAACCAAGCGAAUUUGGAAAACCAAGGCUUUGCUCCGUAUUGCCUUUUUUGCUUGGGAGACUUUCUGGGAGAGGAUUUUGACUAUUGAAAAGUUGAGAAUUAGAAGAAGAGUGAUGGUUAACGUUUGCUAUUGUUGCUUGCAAGCUGAGGAAAUGUGGAACCAUCUCUUAUUGUGGUGUCCGUUUGUUUACAGCUUAUGGUGUUUGAUAUAUAGUCUUAUGGGGAUUGAUUGGGUCGUAAUUGGGUCUGUUGAGGGAGAAAUAUGGGCUUGGGAUGAGCUAUAUGUAAAAAAAAAAAAAUUGCUAACUUGAUUUCUUUGACUGUUUUCUGUGUCAAUUGGAAGGAAAGAAGUGGUAGGACUUUUGACAAUAUUGAGAAUAGGAUCAAUAGAUUAAAAGAUAGGUGAAUUCAUAAUUUUAGUUUUAUUUUAUUAGAACAUAACAUUAUUAGUGGAUUUUGGGAAUGUCAUUGAUAUACUAACAUGAUUUGAUUUUUUGUACAUGGGUGGUACUCUCUUUUUGGUGUCUUGUUAAUACAUACUAUACAUUUUUAUUGGAAAAAAAAGUAUUGACUAGACUACUUGGAAAGGGGAUGUGUAAAAAAUAUGCAUGGAUAGGAAUAAAUUUCAAGAUCGCAUCAGGUGGAGGGUUGAUAUUGGGGGCAAAAUCAGUUUUUGGCAAGACGCUUGGCUUAGAGAGGGAUAGCUCAAAGAUCAGUUUCCCUAGAUAUAUGCCAUUGUAGGGUACAAAAAGAUUACGAUUUUUUAGUCAUUCAAAGAUAUAGGGGGAAAAAGGGAGUGGUACAUGGAAAUUAUGAUAAACCUCAAUGAAUGUGACAUUAAUGAUUAUGAGACUCACCUCAAUACAUUCUCCUUCGCCUCAAUUAAUGGGAGUAAUGAUCAACCAAUUUAGAGUUUCAAUUCCAGAAGGUCUAUCUUAGUCAGAUCUUUCUAUAAUUAUUUAAUUAAGAAUAACCCCACUUAGACCAAUUUUUCUUUUUGGCAAAUUUGAAAAGUUAAUUCUCUAUUUAGAAUUACUUUUUUGCCGUGGGAAAGAGGUUGUCGAUGUAUCUCACUAUUGACAAAUUGAUGAGGAGGAGAAAUAUUUUGGUGAAUGAUUGUUUUCUAUGCAAGAGGGAAGCCAAAUCUUGUAAUCACAUCGUUCUUUGGUGCCCGCUUGCACAUAAGUUAUGAACCAUGGCUUACAAGUCACUGGGGAUUAGUUAAGGCAAUGGCUAAUUUGGUAAGGGACGAAAUUCGGGUCUAGAGGGGUAUUAAUAGAGGAAAGAAACAUGCGAGUCUCAUUCCCCUUGCUGUCUUUUGGGUGGUGGGGAAAGAGACAUGAGAGUUUUUAGGGAGUGGAAGAUGAAUUUGAUAGGGUUAUAGAUAGGUGGUUUCAGACCCUAGUUUUUUUAGUUAUGAGUCAUUCUCUGUAUACAAUUAAAGAUUUUGGGGACCUUAUUAAUAUUAUGUUUGACAUGUAAAUACUUUUUCGUCUUUGGGUUGGCACCCCCUUAGUGUUUGUAGAUUAAUAAAUCAUAUUAUACUUUUUAUUUCAAAAAAAAAAAAAUGAACAUUCUGCAACAUUCUUUGUGAAUGACAAGUUUUUUACAUUUAUUCUUACAGCAAGCUACAGUUUGGAAAAUUAGAGAAUAUUUUGGAUCUUUUUCUACGUUAGCUGCAUAAUUAUGCUUAAUUACAGUCAAGAAUAACUUGUCAAUCCUAUCAUCCUUGAAUAAUGACUUAUUCUCUUCCUCACGAUUCAACAUGCCUUAAACUUUUUCCAUCAUAUACUUUUGCAGAAGAGGCUGCAAAAUAAGAGAGGUAGACAAGAAUACCUCCUUUUCAAUUGCCAAAUGCCAGCCUAAGAGGGGAUAAGCCAAUCUAGGGUAAUCAAUUUAGUCAAACCCGAUUGAAAAAGUCAAAACAGAGCAUGAUACAAAAGGCCCACUCGCGGGUGCAGGUGCUUGGGGUCCAUGCGUUGGCUUUUAGUCAUUGUAUGGCACUGGCCAUUUGGCAGUUGGCUCUACUGGAGGUGCUAAUUUUCGUUUGGAGGUCAGUGUAGGACAUGACAGUGCAGAAGUUCGGAUUCAUGAAAGGCAGCGACUAGAGGAGUUGCGCGGGUGAGUAUGGUGGUUUGUGGUGGAUUUAUGCUGUGGGGUUUUUGGGUUGCCAGGCGGGGUCUUCUUAGACUAGUUAUAGUGACUGUGUUGAUCAACUCCAAUCAGUGACUGUGAUCUAGGGCGGCGGCAGUAGACUGGUAAAUCAGAAUAUGUCAUAUACAAGCUCAAGGAGAUGGCAAAGAUAUCAGAGAAAGACAUUUCCCCUAUCUGUAACCAGUUUGACAGGCUAGAUACGGGCAACUGCGGAAAAAUCACUCUUGCUGAUCUCAUGGAGAGUCAUCACUGAUAUAGAUAAUGCCGUGCAGGAUACAACAGAAGUUGUAGAGAAUCAGUAUGCCACUAAACUGUAAAAUUUGAUAAUUCGCAAAAAAGUUGAAUAUACAAACGUUCCAUGAACUUCAGUGCCUGAUACUGGUAAUCUCUUUACCCAUGAAUCAUGCGCAUCCAGAUACUAGAUACUUGAGUUAACCAUCUGCAUCCUAUUGUCUGAUUUGGUUCUAAAGCAUUUUGAGCAUCAGGAUGUGCAGAUAUUAGUGCUUCCUCCUAUUAUCUGAUAUGCUCCUGAAGCAUUUUGAGCAUCAGGAUGUGCAGAUAUUAAAGCUUCCCCUAGAUUUGGCAAACAUACUUGGUGCACAGAUACAGAUGGAUGCUGUUAGGGGGUGGGGGCGGGGAGAGACUUUUUUUUUUUUUUGCAGAUGUGUUAUUUUUUAUACCCACGAAUUCGGUAUAUACAUAUAUAUUCUUUGAUAGAUUUAUGAUAAUAAAAGAUUGGGCAGGGUGUAUUUAUUCCUUUGUAGUAGUCAUGUCUUCUUCCAUGUUAAUUUCUAUUUAAUCUAAAGCAUGUGAAUGUCAGUUGUAAUCAAAUACAUGAAUGAAGGUGAAGCUUGUUAA